rnacentral:rRNA from 1 species
CCUACGGGUGGCAGCAGUAGGGAAUAUUGCUCAAUGGGCGAAAGCCUGAACCAGCCACGCCGCGUGGGGGAUGAAGGCUUUCGGAUUGGUAACUCCUUUUGUUAGAGAAGAUAAUGACGUUAUCUAACGAAUAAGCACCGGCUAACUCCGUUCCAGCAGCCGCGGUUAUACGGAGGGUGCCAGCGUUACUCGGAAUCACUGGGCGUAAAGAGAGCGUAGGCGGGAUAGCAAGUCAGAUGUGAAACCCUAUGGCUGAACCAUAGAACUGCAUGUGAAACUGUAAUUCUAGAGUAUGGGAGAGGAAGGUGGAAUUCGUGGUGUAGGGGUAAAAUGCGUAGAGAUCAAGAAGAAUACUCAUCGCGAAGGCGACCUGCUAGAACAUAACUGACGCUGAUGCGCGAAAGCGUGGGGAGCAAACAGGAUUAGAUACCCUUGUAGUC